ensembl:misc_RNA Metazoa_SRP Metazoan signal recognition particle RNA
ACAAGGUGUGGUGGUGCACGCCUGUAGUCCUAGCUACUUGGGAGGCUGAGGCAGGGGGGUGGCUUGAGUCCAGGAGUUCUGGGCUGUAGUGUGCCAUGUCAAUUGGGUGUCAGCACUAAGUUUGGCAUCAAUAUGGGAGCAGGGGACCACUAGGUUGGUUAAGGAGGAGUGGGUGCACUGGCUCACACCAGAAAUGGAGCAGGUCAAAACUCCUGUGCUGAUCAGUAGUGGGAUCACACCUGUGAAGAGCCACUGCACUCCUGCCUAGGCAACAUAGUGAGAUCUGUCUCUU